GUCUGUGUCAACCAUCCUGAAAAGACCUGAGCUCCUCUGAUCUUAGAAGCUAAUCAUGGUUGGCCCUGGUUAGCACUUGGGUGGGAAUAAGAAAUGUUAAUUUUGUCAAUCACAAAGAGAGUUGUUGCAGAAA
rnacentral:rRNA from 1 species